CCUAGUCUACUUCAAAGUCUUCUAAACCUAUAAAUAAGCCAUGGGGGUCAUCAUAUGAGUUUAGGCUUUGAAUUUCUACUGUUCUAAAACCCUAGAAACUUGUUUUCACAUUCUUAUGAUUUUAUUCAUAUAACAAGUUUCAUAUAAUCAACGAUCGACUUGAUUCUUCGAUUUUAACUCGAGAUAUUCUUUGAGAAUCAAGUAGAUGUUUGAUUAGAAGGUGAACCCUCAUUGCUUAUGGGAUUCUAAGUCUUAAUCACCACAAAUCAUCGAUUCUACAAGCUCCGGAAGGAGGUUCGGCGCGUGGAUCUCGCGUGAAGCCGAGGAUUCGGUGGACGCUUCGAGGAGUUGAGGUGUUGAUGCGGCAAGGAGUUGCGGCGGGGUCGAUUGGAGGAUUCCUAUCGAUGGAGGACCGGCGAAGACAAUCGACAACAAGAAUUCGGUAAAUUGAGUCUUGUAUUUUGGUUCAAUCACUUGUACUCAAGUUUUCUUAGUGGAUUUUCUUUGUGUGAUCGGUCCCGUGGGUUUUUCACUCCGAAUUGGAGUUUUCCCACGUUAAAAUCUCGGUGUGUUGUUUUUAUUUUUCGCUAUUCUUUUUAUUUGCAUCGAGAGUUUUUGUUUUUGCCAUUUUACACCUAUUCACCCCCCUCUAGGUGUUAUUUACCUUUUAGAUCCUCGGGAU
rnacentral:lncRNA from 1 species